rnacentral:rRNA from 1 species
GACGAACGCUGGCGGCGUGGAUUAGGCAUGCAAGUCGGACGGUAGGGCUUUAUCGUAAGAUAGAGUUUGAGAGUGGCGAACGGGUGAGUAACACGUAGGAAUCUACCCUUAAGACGGGGACAACCCAGGGAAACUUGGGCUAAUACCGGAUGAGAGUGCGAGAGAUUGCAUUUAAAAGGAUGGCGAAAGUUGUCGCUUGGGGAUGAGCCUGCGUCCUAUUAGUUAGUUGGUGAGGUAACGGCUCACCUAGGCAAUGAUAGGUAGGCGGCCUUAACGGGUGGUCGCCCACACUGGGAUUGAGAUACGGCCCAGACUCCUACGGGAGGCAGCAGUCGAGAAUAGUCUACAAUGGUCGGAAGACUGAUAGUGCGACGCCGCGUGAACGAUGAAUCCCUUCGGGGUGUAAAGUUCUUUUAUAUGUGAGCAGUGCUUCUUAUAUUAACAGUAUGGGGAAGAGAUAUUAGCAUAUGAAUAAGCAACGGCUAACUCCGUGCCAGCAGCCG